rnacentral:lncRNA from 1 species
AUGUUCUAGUAAUGUCCCUGACAGAGGGUAGCUAGUAGCCUGUCUGUAUGUUCUAGUAAUGUCCCCGACAGAGGGUAGCAAAUAGCCUAUCUGUGUGUUAUAUUAAUAUCCCUGACAGAGGGUAGCUAGUAGCCUCACCAUAGUUUGUGCUGUCUUGCCAACUUGCACAAUAAAGAGGAGCUGGAAAGACGGCACAAACAGAUCUGGGACCAAGCUCAUCAGGUUAAUGGGUUUAGACCAAAAUCCUUUGGUAAAUGCUUAGUCUCAACCUGCUGUAGGCUUGUUUGAACAAUACUGUUAAUGUCCUCUAAUGCAUUUGUAUACAUUUGUUUUAGUUUUCCAGUAAUGAUUGUGCAUUUGAAUAGCCCUUUGAGGACUUCUAUUCUAUCGUCACCUGUCCUGUUCCCCCCCUGGUUAAGGUGCUACUGGUGUAAUCGUACUAUACCAGAGACUCACCUGAUUGGGGGCCUUUGCCUUCUCAGCUGAGUUCAUUGUGAGCAUCACCAUCAUGGCCUUCAUGUACCGUAUGGGGACUGUACCGUAUCGUAUGGGGACCGUAUCGUAUGGGGACUGUACCGUACCGUAUGGGGACCGUACCGUAUGGGGACUGUACCGUAUGGGGACUGUAUCGUAUGGGGACUGUAGCGUAUCGUAUGGGGACCGUAUCGUAUGGGGACCGUACCGUAUGGGGACCGUAUCGUAUGGGGACUGUACUGUAUCGUAUGGGGACUGUACUGUAUCGUAUGGGGACUGUACUGUAUCGUAUGGGGACUGUAGCGUAUCGUAUGGGGACUGUACUGUAUCGUAUGGGGACUGUAUCGUAUGGGGACUGUAUCGUAUGGGGACUGUACCGUAUCGUAUGGGGACUGUACCGUAUUGUAUGGGGACUGUACCGUAUCGUAUGGGGACUGCUGGUCUAUCCUCUCCGUGUGUGUGUGUGUCUCCUUCCUUCCAUUCUGGCAGAACAUUGUGGUGAUCGUGCUCUUUGCCAUCCUGUGGUUGAAGAGUGUGUCGUCAUGGGCCAGGGGUCUACAGAGUGUACCCUGGCACAGUGCCGAGGACAGGGCAUGGUCUCAACGUGUCUGUGA